GAUGAACGCUGGCGGCGUGCCUAAUACAUGCAAGUCGAGCGAACGGACGAGAGGCUUGCUUCUCUGAUGUUAGCGGCGGACGGGUGAGUAACACGUGGAUAACCUACCUAUAAGACUGGGAUAACUUCGGGAAACCGGAGCUAAUACCGGAUAAUAUUUUGAACCGCAUGGUUCAAAAGUGAAAGACGGUCUUGCUGUCACUUAUAGAUGGAUCCGCGCUGCAUUAGCUAGUUGGUAAGGUAACGGCUUACCAAGGCAACGAUGCAUAGCCGACCUGAGAGGGUGAUCGGCCACACUGGAACUGAGACACGGUCCAGACUCCUACGGGAGGCAGCAGUAGGGAAUCUUCCGCAAUGGGCGAAAGCCUGACGGAGCAACGCCGCGUGAGUGAUGAAGGUCUUCGGAUCGUAAAACUCUGUUACUAGGGAAUAACAUAUGUGUAAGUAACUGUGCACAUCUUGACGGUACCUAAUCAGAAAGCCACGGCUAACUACGUG
rnacentral:rRNA from 1 species